rnacentral:rRNA from 1 species
AGUGAACGCUGGCGGUAGGCCUAACACAUGCAAGUCGAACGGCAGCACAGUAAGAGCUUGCUCUUACGGGUGGCGAGUGGCGGACGGGUGAGGAAUACAUCGGAAUCUACUUUUUCGUGGGGGAUAACGUAGGGAAACUUACGCUAAUACCGCAUACGACCUACGGGUGAAAGCAGGGGAUCUUCGGACCUUGCGCGAUUGAAUGAGCCGAUGUCGGAUUAGCUAGUUGGCGGGGUAAAGGCCCACCAAGGCGAGGAUCCGUAGCUGGUCUGAGAGGAUGAUCCGCCACACUGGAACUGAGACACGGUCCAGACUCCUACGAGAGGCAGCAAUGGGGAAUAUUGGACAAUGGGCGCAAGCCUGAUCCAGCCAUACCGCGUGGGUGAAGAAGGCCUUCGGGUUGUAAAGCCCUUUUGUUGGGAAAGAAAAGCAGCAGGUUAAUACCCCGCUGUUCUGACGGUACCCAAAGAAUAAGCACCGGCUAACUUCG